GGGGUGUGCAAUAGACUUACCUCCACGUGGUGCACCCUAGGCAACGUAUAUCCAUACGGCAAAAAAUCUAUU
rfam:Hymenolepis nana genome assembly, scaffold: HNAJ_scaffold0000969